rnacentral:rRNA from 1 species
AUUGAACGCUGGCGGCAUGCCUUACACAUGCAAGUCGAACGGUAACAGGUUAAGCUGACGAGUGGCGAACGGGUGAGUAAUGUAUCGGAACGUGCCCAGUCGUGGGGGAUAACUGCUCGAAAGAGCAGCUAAUACCGCAUACGACCUGAGGGUGCAAGCGGGGGACCGUAAGGCCUCGCGCGAUUGGAGCGGCCGAUCUCAGAUUAGCUAGUUGGGGAGGUAAAGGCUCACCAAGGCGACGAUCUGUAGCUGGUCUGAGAGGACGACCAGCCCAAGUGGGACUGAGACACGGCCCAGACUCCUACGGGAGGCAGCAGUGGGGAAUUUUGGACAAUGGACGCAAGUCUGAUCCAGCCAUGCCGCGUGCGGGAAGAAGGCCUUCGGGUUGUAAACCGCUUUUGUCAGGGAAGAAACGGGUUUUUCUAAUACAGAGACCUAAUGACGGUACCUGAAGAAUAAGCACCGGCUAACUACGUGCCAGCCGCCGCGGUAAAAC